GCAAUGGAAGUUCAGCAGCAGAGUUCUCACUUUCCAUGCAGGAUACCUGGGUUUGACUCCCAGCCAAUGCA
rnacentral:tRNA from 1 species